UAACUGGCUUGUGGCAGCCAAGCGUUCUUAGCGACGUUGCUUUUUGAUCCAUCGAUGUCGGCUCUUCCUAUCAUUGCGAAGCAGAAUUCGUCAAGGAUUGGAUUGUUCACCCACCAACAGGGAACGUGAGCUGGGAUUAGACUGUUGUGAGACAGGUU
rnacentral:ncRNA from 1 species